rnacentral:rRNA from 1 species
ACGAGGUUGAUAGGGCAGGGGUGGAAGUGCUGUAAAGCAUGGAGCUGACUGCUACUAAUCGGUCGAGGGCUUGACCAAAA